GAUAAGGCAUGUAACGCAGAUGAUGUAUCUGGACCUGAUCAGGACAACCUGAUCUGGACCUGAUCAGGUUUUCCUGAUCUCAGGUCAUACCUGAUCUGGACCUGAUCAGGUUUCCCUGGUCAGGUCCAGAUACAUCAUCUGCGUUACAUGCCUUAUCUAGUCCUGAUCAGGCAUGCACGGUCCGGUCCUUGGUUGCUUGAUCCAAAUCGAGUAUGCCCAUGCGGUCCUUUUAAAUAAAACACGAAUGUACAGUCUUGACAAAAUUGUUUAUUAAAAAACUUGGUUGUCUGCAAAGUUGGUUUACAGACGAUAGUUAAACGUGACAACCGUCAUAACAAAACAUCUCCUCGGAUGCAUAGGCCGAUCAGAUAGAUGCGGCACAAGCAUACAUAUGAUCGUAACGAAGCCGGCGUUAAUCGAUUUAUUAGACGUCACGUCAAAAAAAAAAAAAAGAAAUGAUAUUAUGUUACUUAACAUACUAUGUAUAUUUAAAAUAACAUAUUAUAUACAUUUAACUUAACAUAACAAUACACUUUAUUGUGCACUUAAACAGAAAUAAAACUUAUCCGAUUGAAAAAAAACAUAUUUAUUUCCAUUUAUUUUUUCAAAUGUAUUAUUUAUUUUUGUUUUUACUUUAAAUAUCAAUUAUUUUUAUGUUAUAGUUAAAAAUAAUAAUGAUUGUUAUUAAAUAUUAUGAAUUAAUUUUUCUUUUUGUUUGCUUGGCAAAAUAUUUUACACAGCAAAAAAAAAAUAGUUGUUUUUAUUUAUCUUCAUUAGAUGGUAGUUUUUGAUCCUGGAUACCCUGUACCCAUCCCAAUCUUUAUUAUUAUAUUAGCAUUAUUCAAUACU
rnacentral:misc_RNA from 1 species